GGAUGGAUUCCCGAGUGGCCAAAGGGGGCAGACUGUAAAUCUGUUAGCAACGCUUUCGAAGGUUCGAAUCCUUCUCCAUCCAC
rnacentral:tRNA from 2 species